UCCGUAGGGUGCAAGCGUUGUCCGGAAUUAUUGGGCGUAAAGAGCUCGUAGGCGGUUUGUCGCGUCUGCUGUGAAAACUCGGGGCUUAACUCCGGGCCGGCAGUGGGUACGGGCAGACUAGAGUGCGGUAGGGGAGACUGGAAUUCCUGGUGUAGCGGUGAAAUGCGCAGAUAUCAGGAGGAACACCGGUGGCGAAGGCGGGUCUCUGGGCCGUAACUGACGCUGAGGAGCGAAAGCGUGGGGAGCGAACAGG
rnacentral:rRNA from 1 species